GUAUGGUUAAUAAUUGUAUACAAUUGAAAUAAAUUCGAAGAAUGAAGCGCUAGUGAUGGUAUGUGCUAGGAGCUAGCAGUAUAAAGUCAAAACGACACUAAUAAGAGCUCUGGAUCAGAUUCUGACUUUAAUGCGAUUAAGAAAGUAAUUUACUUGAUUUAAGAACGGAGGGACAAUGCGUACAAAGACGUUUAUGAAUGAAUGAAACUCUUGCCAAGAUCUCGAAUACAUCCAUGUGGUGUUAAGCCUCGUGAAUGAAAAGAUGAAAAAGUAGGAAUAGAAUUGGUCCAGUUAAAAUGAGAAAGGUUUCGGGGACGAAACCUCUUUUAAGGGGGGUAGAUUUGUAACACCCCAAAAAUGAAAACUCAAUAAAACAAGUGAGGAUAAAUAACAAACUUAACAUAAUUAAGGAUUUAUGGCAAGAUGGUAGUGAAAUGUAGUUUAAAGAUUAGAUUUGUAAUUAGCAACUAAGUGAAGGGGGUAAAGUGCAAAGUGAUUAAACUUAAAUUAGUUAAAAAAAAAAAAAACAAAACAAAUUAAACCCCAAACACAGUGAGUGUGUCUGGGGGAACGAUCGAACAAGGAAGGAGGAGGGGGAAACCCUAAACUCAAGAAAUCAAGCAAUUGAAGCCUAAAAUCAUAAGAAAAUCCAGUGCAUGAGCCAUCUUAUCGAUCAUCUAAGCAUACCUAGUGAAGUGGAACGUGUCAAGGAGAGCUCAAGCAUAGGAGGAUAACGGGUCAAGAUAAGGCAAGGUGACAAAUACACUUAUUGGAGUACUCAAGGUUAUGAAUGUCGGACUUUCGAAGUGUUGAUAUAAUAAUGAAACGGUUGAAUGUUGAAAGGAUAAUCGGAUUGAAGUAACUUAUGCGGUUAGAAUAUGCUAUGGACGUUUUAGUUUAUACAACAUUUUAUGUUUGGUCGUCAUCAUCUACCAACGGGUAAAUCCUAAAUUCAGGCGACUUGGAGAAUCGGAGCGAGCGCGUGUUCAUGUUAUGUCAUACCAAACGCUUCCGCUAGCUUGUUCAAAUGUUUUUAGUCCAAAAUUUGUUGUUUUGGUUCUUAGUAGUAUUUUGUCGAAUGAAUCGUAGAAUUGUAUCUAGUUUGUUUAUGUUUAAAACAGGGGUAUGCUCGUUUUAUGGACGGGUCAUGCCCAAUUUUUGUUAAAUUAAUGCACCUGCGUUAUUGAUAUUAUCAUUUAAAAUUACGAAAAGUUGGACACUUUUAAGAAAAUUU
rnacentral:lncRNA from 1 species